GGGGAGCGUAAGGGUGGCAAGGCGCCCGAGAGUCAGGGCUGGAGCUGAAGGUGGGUGACAGGGAGGGGGCGCCCAGGUGUCAGGACCUGAGGAGAAAGAGUGCGCGUAGCGGGAGGGCCCCGAAGUGUCGGGGCGGGAUCCUGGAAGGAGGGAGAACGUGAGGAGGGAGGAAGGGUCCCUGGGGUGUCAGGGAUGGGGGCCAGGAAAGGGGCAGAGAGCUGGAGGCCCACAAGUGGGGAUAGCGGGGGAGGGAGGUUGGAGCGAGUGGGGAACGCAGGUGGUGUCGAGGGCGGGGACAGGGCGAGGGGAGCGGGGCGUGAGGAAGUUGUGGGAAACCGCGCUGGACGCUGAGAAUGUGCGGAAGGAUCCUGAGGGGAGGACGCGAGACAGCGCGAGGAGAGACGAGGAGAGUUAGGGUUGGCCGGGAGGGUGCGAAGAUGAAGCGACCACUGGAGGCUGUGAGGGUGAAAGGAGCAAGAAUCGUCUAGAGACGGGCUGGGCCGGUGCUGGGGCCAAAGGCUUCUGUCUGUCAGGCCCUUUUUGGCGCUCACUCUAGAAAGAAGAGGCGGAGACGCGAAGAGAUCGGGUUAGAGUCAGAUUUUCGAAGCACGGAGAUGGGUUCAAUGAAAGGACGAGGAAAGACGAGAAACCAGCGGCCGGAGAACGGAGAGUUCAACAAUUUUUAUGAAUUUCUAAUCCAACCUCAUCAUCCUAUGGGAAACAGAAGACCAC
rnacentral:lncRNA from 1 species